UGUCGAGAAUGACGUUCCAGAU
rnacentral:siRNA from 1 species